CCUGAGAAACCCAAAAGAUCGAAUGGGGAGAUUCAUCGUCAGCUCAUUUUGUAUAUAUAUUAGUUAUGAUAUGAGUUACUACUUGUAGUAUUGCUUGUACAUUCUUUUAUAUUUCAUUGCAAGAUGUUGUCGGCGUGCACUUCUCCCCUAGUAGGACAUCGCGACCCGUUGAGUGUCGGUCUAUGGCCUAAGUGGUAGACUUUAAUUUUUUUUUAAAUUAAAGACCCUUAGUGUUUUCUGACCGACUAACUCGGCGGUAAACGUAUGGUAUUAAGCCGCAUUUUUUAUGCGUUCAUAUCCGUUGCAAGCACGAUCAAUAUUUAGUAGUACGGACCUAGUGCCGUCGCUAUUAUUCGAUCAGCUGUUGGUUAUACGGUGUUCUAGAACUGGCUUUCAAAAAUUUAAUACCGGUCAGCGAUGCUAUUGCUUUGGUACUUU
rnacentral:rRNA from 1 species